GGGCCGGUACGUACCGGUCCGGCCGUGGACCGGUACCGGAACGGAUAAAAAACCGGUAUUUCCCGGUUUUUUAUCCGAACCGGCCGGUUCGGAGCCCGUACCGGCCGGUACCGGCCUCGUACCGGUGCGAACCGGCCGGUUCGCACGGGUACAAAUUUUUUUUUAGAACCACAGCGCCGCGCGCUGUGGUUUUUGAAACCACCGCGUACCGGCCGGUACGGGACCGGUACCAGCCGGUACGUACCUGACCGGACCGGUACCGUACCGGUCCGGCCGGCCACCGGUACGCCGACCGGUACUGGUACGGCGGACCUUGAUACCAACACUGUACCAGCAUGGUAGUAGCAUGAUGGCAAACCUUGACUUAGACCAAUUUGAAAUAUAUGAUAAGUAAAUAAGAAGAAAAUCCAAAUACAAAGCUCUCUAGCUUUGAGGGUUAAAUGUUAGUUCAUGGGAAUCAGUUAAUAGAAGAUGCUGACUUUGAGUAAUAAAGUGAGAGGAAAUUUACCCAACACAUUGAC
rnacentral:lncRNA from 1 species